rnacentral:rRNA from 1 species
UACGUAGGGUGCAAGCGUUUAAUCGGAAUUACUGGGCGUAAAGCGUGCGCAGGCGGUUUUGUAAGUCUGACGUGAAAUCCCCCGGGCUCAACCUGGGAAUUGCGUUGGAGACUGCAAGGCUGGAGUCUGGCAGAGGGGGGUAGAAUUCCACGUGUAGCAGUGAAAUGCGUAGAGAUGUGGAGGAACACCGAUGGCGAAGGCAGCCCCCUGGGUCAAGACUGACGCUCAUGCACGAAAGCGUGGGGAGCAAACAGG